CAGCAGUGCACACCCAUCUGAGGCCGACCUGUUUUACUUCAUGAUCACCCCAGAUACUUCUACAACUAACCCGCUUUGUGUCUGAUGUUGAUGCAGUCUGGGCACUAGUAUCUGUUGGGUUGCUGACUAUCAUUGAAGAUGAAGUACUUCUCCAAAUUGUCUCUGCCUUGACCCUGUGUCUUUUGCCAUCAUUGUUCAGGGUAGUACUGCAAAGAACAGUCUCCAGGGUCUACCUCAGCCAUUUGCUUACGGACUGCCAUGUGCUAUGUUUGGAUCACUGGUACAGUACAUUUGGAUUACCCUAAUACUGUGAAGAACACUUACAGUGUGAUGCUUGACUUGGGACAGGG